UUUCCGUAGGUGAACCUGCGGAAGGAUCAUUAAUGAAUUCACUUUUGAAGUUGUUGCUGGCCUCUAGGGGCAUUUGUGCACGCUUCAUCAGUCUUUCAAACCACCUGUGAACCUUUGAUAGAUUCGUCUUCAAGUUUUGGCUGAGUCCGAUUUAAAAGGGGUUUUACCCCUGUCGGUGGCUGACUUGGGCGAUUCUAUAUUACAUACCCCAAACGCAUGUCUUACGAAUGUCAUUGAUUGGGCCAUGUGCCUAUAAAAUCUAAUACAACUUUCAACAACGGAUCUCUUGGCUCUCGCAUCGAUGAAGAACGCAGCGAAAUGCGAUAAGUAAUGUGAAUUGCAGAAUUCAGUGAAUCAUCGAAUCUUUGAACGCACCUUGCGCCCCUUGGUAUUCCGAGGGGCAUGCCUGUUUGAGUGUCAUUAAAUUCUCAAAUCUACAAGGGUUUUGCUCUUCGUAGCAUUUGGAUUGCUGGGGGUUGCUGGCUUGUAACCGAGUCGGCUCCUCUUAAAUGCAUUAGCAGGACUUUUGUUGCCUCUGCAUCAGGUGUGAUAAUUAUCUACGCCGAACGCAUGCAAUGAUCAUGAGUUCCAGCUCUCUAAUCGUCCUGUUCUCUAAGGACAAUUACUUGACCAUUUGACCUCAAAUCAGGUAGGACUACCCGCUGAACUUAA
rnacentral:rRNA from 1 species